rnacentral:lncRNA from 1 species
CUGCGAUGGAUCCCGCGCAGCUCCAUUACUACCUGGCAGGUCACAGUAACAGCCACGACUCUACUCCACUUCCUGCGAUGGAUCCCGCAUGGCUCCAUCACUCCCUGGCAGGCCACGGUAAUAGCCACUACUCUACUCCACUUCCUGCGAUGGAUACCACGCGGCUUCUCCACCCCCUGGCAAGUCACGACAACGAACGCCGCUUCACGCCCCGCA